rnacentral:misc_RNA from 1 species
UUAAUAAUUCGUGGUUUUCGGAAGGUAAGUGCAAGUACAAAAGGGUUUGAGGGUCCCCACUGGCAGUCGCGCUCUGCCGAGGAAACAAGCAGUACUCAUGGACAGAGGGUGCAUCUUGGCAAAAGAGCCCCGCGGAGACCGCUGGGACUCCUCCACAGUAAUGAUCCUUCCGCAGGUUCACCUACGGAAA